CCGAGUAGUAUUGCUUGCUCUCAAAGUAUUAAGCUAUGCAUGUGUAAGUAUGAACUAAAUAUCAGACUGUGAAACUGCGAAUGCUCAUAAUAAAUCAAGUUUAUAGUUUGUUUUGAUGGUAUCUGCUAACUCGGAUAACCGUAGUAAUUCUUUUUGAGCUAAUACGUGCAACAAACCCGACUUCUGGAAGGGAUGGCAUUUUAUUAGAUAAAAGGUCGACGCGAGGGCUUCUGCCGUUGCUCUGAUGAUUCAUGAUAACUCGACGGAUCGCAGGCAUCCGUGCGCCGACGCAAUCAUUCAAAUUUCUGCCCUAUCAACUUUCGAUGGUAAGGAUAGAGCGCCUACCAUGGUGGUGACGGGUGACGGAGAAUUAGGGUUCGAUUCCGGAGAGGGAGCCUGAGAAACGGCUACCACAUCCAAGCGAAGGCAGCCAGGCGCGCAAAAUUACCCAAUUCCUGACACGGGGAGGUAGUGACAAUAAAUAACAUACCCGGGGCUCUUCCGACGUCUGGUACAUUGGAACUGAGUACAAUCUAAAUCCCUUAACGAGGAUCCCUUUGGAGGGCAGAGUCUGGUGGCCAGCAGCCGCGGUAAUUCCAGCUUCCAAAUAGCGUAUAUUUAAGUUGUUGGCAGUUAAAAGCUCGUAGUUGGACCUUGGGUUGGGAUUCGAGACCACCGGUCCGCCUCGCGGUGUGCACCUGUCGGCUCGUCCCUUCUGCCGCGAUGCGCUCGCUGGCCUUAACUCGGCCCGGGUCGUGCCUCGGCGCUGUUUUGAAGAAAUUGAGAAGUGCUCAAAGCAAGCCUACGACUGGAAUACAUUAGCAAUCCGGCAUGAACAUCAUAGGAUUUCGUGUCCUUAUUUGUGUUGGGCCUUGGAUCGGAGUAAUGAUUAACAGGGCAGUCGGGGCAUUCAGUCAUUUCCAUAGUCAGCGAGAGUUGAAAUCUUGGAUUUAUGAAAGACGAACAUUUGGCGAAAGCCCCCCAUUUGCCAAGGAUGUUUUCAUUAAUCAAGAACGAAAGUUGGGGGCUCGACAGACGAUCAGAUACCGUCCUAAAGUCUCAACCAUAAACGAUGCCGACCAGGAUGGCGGAUGUUUGAUUUUAGACUUCCGCCCGGCACCUUUGAGAACUCAAAGUCCUUUGGGUUCCGGGGGGAGUAAUGGUCGCCAAGGCUGAAACUGAAUGGAAUUGAACGGAAGGGCACCACCAGGAGUGGAGCUGCCGGCUUAAUUUGACUCAACACGGGGAAACUUAUCCAGGUCCAGACCAUAGUAAGGAUUGACAGAACUGAGAGCUCUUUCUUGAAUUCUAUGGGUGGUUGUGCAUGGCGUUCUUAGUUGGUGAGCGAUUUGUCUGGUUAAUUCCGUUAACGAACGAGACCUCAGCCUGCUACUAUAGCUAUGCGGAGGUGACCCUCCGCGGCCAGCUUUCUUAAGAGGGACUAUGGCCUUUUAGGCCAAGGAAGUUGUUGAGGCAAUACAGGUCUGUGAUGCCCUUAGAUGUUCCUGGGCCGCACGCCGCUGCCUAUCACUGAUGUACUUCAACGAGUCUAUAGCCUUGGCCGACAGCCCGGGUAAUCUUGAAAUUUCAUCGUGAUGGGGAUAGAUUAUUGCAUUGGUUGGUCUUCAACGAGGAAUUCCUAGUACAGGCGCGAGUCAUCAGCUCGCGUAUGACUACGUCCUGCCCAUUUGUACACACCCGCCCCGUCGCUCCUACCGAUUGAAUGGUCCGGUGAGGUUUGGAUCGCGGCGACAGUGGGCGGUUCGCCGCUCAGGCGACCGUCGCGAAGAAUCCACCUGAACCUUAUCCAUUUAGAGGAAGGAGAAGUCGUAAACAAGGUUUACCGUAUGGUGAACCUGCGGAAG
rnacentral:rRNA from 1 species